GACGAACGCUGGCGGCGGGCUUAACACAUGCAAGUCGAACGGAAAGGCCCUGCUUGUGUGGGGUGCUCGAGAGGCGAACGUGUGACUAACACGAGAGUAACCUGCCCUGGACUUUGGGCGAACUUCUGUAAACUGGGACUAAUACCGGAUAGGAGCUCCUGUUGCAUGGUGAUGGUUGGAAAGUUUCGGCGGGUGGGGAUGGACUCGCGGCUGAUCAGUGUGUUGGUGGGGUAGUGGCUUACCAAGGCUUUGACGGGUAGCUGGCCUGAGAGGGUGACCGGCAACAUGAGGACAGAGAUACGGCCCAGAGUCCUACGGGAGACAGCAGUGGGGAAUAUUGCACAAUGGGCGGAAGCCUGAUGCAGCAACGACGCGUGCGGGAUGAUGGCCUUCGGGUUGUAAACCGCUUUCGCCUGUAACGAAGCGUGAGUGACGGUAAUGGAUGAAGAAGCACCGGCUAACUACGUG
rnacentral:rRNA from 1 species